rnacentral:rRNA from 1 species
UGCGUAGGCGGACUAGUAAGUCAGUGGUGAAAUCUCUCGGCUCAACCGGGAAACUGCCAUUGAUACUGUUAGUCUUGAGUUCGGUUGAGGUAGGCGGAAUGUGUAAUGUAGCGGUGAAAUGCUUAGAUAUUACACAGAACACCAAUUGCGUAGGCAGCUUACUAGACAGACACUGACGCUGAGGCACGAAAGCGUGGGUAGCGAACAGGAUUAGAUACCCUGGUAGUCC